CUGGCAGCGAAGGUGAGAGCAUCUCCCUCGAGAUCCCUGCAUGCCCGAGGUCUUAUGAAGGCAAGCAGCUUCUUUUCCUUUGUUUCUGUGCCUACGGCGUUUGAGCCUCGAUUGUCAACUGAGUCCUCAAUUGCUGCGGCCUGGAACUUUGCUACUCUGCUGUCAUCGCUGUGCUUUGCAUUGCGUUACAGCAUUAUACCACUUACGGGCACUUCAGCAGGCUGGUGUCAUACGUAUAAAGAACAAAGCAGGAAUGAUGUUGCAUACAGGCACGCUUAUGUAUUUUGCCGAAUGGCUGAUAGGUAGAAACUGCAUGAGUUUGCUUUGUGCAACCGUAAUGACCUAAAAGUAAGCCCUACCCGCCUUCAUUUAGGCAUUAAUCAAAGCUCAUGGAUGUUGUCACGAGGACAGCUUCUGUCCUCACCUUGAGCUUUGUAGAUGCUGGCUGGUGAGAUCCAGCUGCAUGCGACAGUGUGGAAACGCUGCCUGCUCCCAAUGGCUGAGCUCGGCAGGAAAGCGCGGCUGUGCCGCGGCAAGUCGGUGCCUGCAGGGAUGUGACGGUAGCUUCAGUUGGUUUGAUUUCUUAAAAAGAGUUGUGCUUACGUUUCUAUUUGUGCCGAGUAGUACACUGGUGUGGGCUACUUCAGUAUCGCUGAGAGAGAGAUCUGGGGAGACAGAUGCCUACAAUCCACCUGUUUGCUUUCUUUUCUUCAGCACGCCGUCGGCCUCGCGGGAGAUCUGCAUCACGUCUCGCAUCCGAGAAGAUACGAUUUGUGUUCCCCGUCAGCAUCCCUUGGUUUCUGCGUGAAAACUGAGCAUGCAUCACAGCUGGCAGACAAGGCAAAAGAAGAUGACUACAAGAUGACCGAAGGCACCUGAAACAAAGCAGCUCCACAGGAACUAAGAGGAGGAAGACCAGAUUUCUAAGCGUUAGAAGAGCAAAGAAUCUCGCCCAUUCCAGAGCGUUUUUUCAAGCUCCAGCACCUGGAGCAGAGCAGCUUUACCCGGGAACCCGAAAGCCUCAAACUGCCGGUA